rnacentral:rRNA from 1 species
UCGAGCGGACAGAUGGGAGCUUGCUCCCUGAUGUUAGCGGCGGACGGGUGAGUAACACGUGGGUAACCUGCCUGUAAGACUGGGAUAACUCCGGGAAACCGGGGCUAAUACCGGAUGCUUGAUUGAACCGCAUGGUUCAAUUAUAAAAGGUGGCUUUUAGCUACCACUUACAGAUGGACCCGCGGCGCAUUAGCUAGUUGGUGAGGUAACGGCUCACCAAGGCAACGAUGCGUAGCCGACCUGAGAGGGUGAUCGGCCACACUGGGACUGAGACACGGCCCAGACUCCUACGGGAGGCAGCAGUAGGGAAUCUUCCGCAAUGGACGAAAGUCUGACGGAGCAACGCCGCGUGAGUGAUGAAGGUUUUCGGAUCGUAAAACUCUGUUGUUAGGGAAGAACAAGUACCGUUCGAAUAGGGCGGUACCUUGACGGUACCUAACCAGAAAGCCACGGCUAACUACGUGCCAGCAGCCGCGGUAAUACGUAGGUGGCAAGCGUUGUCCGGAAUUAUUGGGCGUAAAGCGCGCGCAGGCGGUUUCUUAAGUCUGAUGUGAAAGCCCCCGGCUCAACCGGGGAGGGUCAUUGGAAACUGGGGAACUUGAGUGCAGAAGAGGAGAGUGGAAUUCCACGUGUAGCGGUGAAAUGCGUAGAGAUGUGGAGGAACACCAGUGGCGAAGGCGACUCUCUGGUCUGUAACUGACGCUGAGGCGCGAAAGCGUGGGGAGCGAACAGGAUUAGAUACCCUGGUAGUCCACGCCGUAAACGAUGAGUGCUAAGUGUUAGAGGGUUUCCGCCCUUU